GUCUCCGACUCCUGCACCAGCGCCAUCCCAAUCUCUGUGCCCGGCCGGCUUCAGCAGCAUAUUUGCAUUCACAGCAGCUGUUCCUAGUUUUCUUCUACGUGGCGUCCUUCUGGUUUUUGCCCCUAAAAACUUCCCCACCCCAAUCACCUUCCCGAAGCCUCUGCCCAUCAUAAAGUGCCUCUGCUAUUCCAACAAUCCUCUUGAUCCCAUCGGCCCCGUCACAUGUAAGCCUAUCGCUGCCUGAGACUGAUCGAGCUUGAGCGUGCAUGCGCAGCAUAUGUGCGCGCGCGCGCGUGGCUUAUCAGCUAUUUACUCGUGUGCAACAACUACUACUGUACUACUACAUAUAAAUAAAUCAGUUGCCACUCACAGGUAUGCGUGUGCCGUCUGCAUGUCUGCACGCGGAUACUGGUUCGCGUGUGUUUGUUUGCACUACGCAAUGUGGCUGAUGGGCAGUGGCGGAAUCAGAAAAUUUUUAUGAGAGGAUGCGAUCGGUGUCUAACAAUAUAUAUUAUAAAAGAAUCUACAUAAAGCUAAUUGUAUGUGAGCUAA
rnacentral:lncRNA from 1 species